AAAAAGCCAGAGAACGAAGGUUGAAGGAAGGAAAAGCUUGGAGCUCAGAGAUUGCCGGAUUUACUCAGGUAAGGGGGGUUUAUCAUCGAUUAAUGGGUAUUAUGGGAUAAUAUGUGAUGGGUAGUGAGAAACCAUUGACUUGCCUCUGAUUGAAUGAUAUGUGAUGAAUUUGUGAACUUUUGGGAUGAACGAAAAUUGAGUUAAAAUUGAAGAAAUUCG
rnacentral:lncRNA from 1 species